AAGUUGGAGACCCAGGAAAGCCAGUAGUAUAAUUUAGUCUGAUCUAAAUCAGACUAAAUCACCAUCACCAUAAUAAUCACCACCAUCAUCAUCACCAUCACCUUAAUCACCAUCACCAUCAUCAUCACCAUCAUCACUCUCAUUAUCACUACCAUCACCAUUAUCAUUAUUCCCUCAUUAUCAUCAACACCAUCACCAUUGUUAUCACCAUCAUCAUCACUAUCAUCACUACCAUCACUAUCACUAUCACUAUCACCAUGAUCACUAUCAUCAUCACCAUCAUCACCCAUCAUCACUAUUAUCACCAUCACUAUCACCAAAACCAUGAUCAUCACCACCAUCAUGACCAUCACCACCAUCAUCUUCACCAUUACCACCAUCAUCAUCACCAUCAUCACUCUCAUUAUCACUACCAUCACCAUUAUUAUCCCCAUCACCAUCAUCACCACCAUCGCCAGUGUUAUCACCAUCAUCAUCAUCACUAUCAUCACUAGUAUCAUCACUCUCACCAUCAUCACUAUCAUCAUCACCACCAUCACUAUCAUCACCAUCACUAUCACCAUCACCAUGAUUAUCACCAUCACUAUCACCAUAACCACAAUGAACCACCAUCACCAUGACCAUCACCAUAAUCAUAUCACCAUCAUCAUCACCAUUAUCACCAUCACCAUCAUCACCAUCAUUAUCACUAUCAUCACCAUUAUCAUCAUCACCUUCAUUAUCAUCAUCACUGUUAUCAUCACUACCAUCACGAUCACCAUUAUCAUUAUCCCCAUCAUCAUCACCACCAUCACCAUUGUUAUCAUCAUCACUAUCACUAUAAUUAUCACUAUCACCAUCAUCAUCAUCACCAUCACCAUGACUAUCAUCACUGUCAUGAUCAUCACCAUCAUCUAUCAUCACUAUCAUCAGAUAAUGAAUUAUCUUUUACUGUCUGUGGACAAUUAUCAUAGGACAAGAUUUCUCUAUCUUGGCACUAUUGACAUCUGAGGUCUGGAUAAUUCUUUGUUGUGGGAAG
rnacentral:lncRNA from 1 species